UAUGUAUUAUUCCAAUAGCAGCCAUUGUUUACAGCGUACACCCUUACAGCGUAAACUUCGAUACAACAUCCAAAUUUCUAGAGAAAAAAGUGGAGGACAUUGUGCUUGGAAGAAUUGUUGAGAAAGCUACCAAGCAAACAAAAGUAACUGACUUUUUCAAGGCACAGACUCUCUACAUUUAAAGUAAAAUUCAAACUUCCCGCAUUAAAUGAGUUGCAUUGACCGCUAGUUACUGGACUGCGUAGUAAUGGCUUAAGUGUUGUGUGCGUAUUCUUUGUUUAUUAAAUCUUGUGAAAUACCGGUCAUGCCGGUAAUUGUGAAUUCAGAAUAAUAAUUGAAGUAAACGAUUUUAUGAUUUAAUUUGAACGAUAUUUCAUUAAUAUUUUCAGGCCAAAUGCCAAUUUGGAUGCGAAUGUUUAUUUUAAAAGUCAAUUUUGACCAGCCGUUGUGUAUUUUCUUUGCAGUUUAUCGCCGGCCGGCACUAAGUAAUCGUGAGUAAUUUAAGGAAAAUUUCAAGGAUCCAAAUGAGCUUUGUUGAAUUAUUUAACAAGUAAUAAUGUGUUCGUUUGUUUUGUAGUCAAUUUAAGGGUCUGUUCUAUUAAAGUUUGAUCAUUUACAUGGAUAUUUCAUGAGUUCUUUCAUCCAUCGUGCACUAAGUUGUUACAAUGUUCUAUGCUUAUAACGUACUAGGCACUUGGACAAAUUUUUUUCAUGUACUGCUAAUACUCUUUUUGUCACAAUGGCAGGAUAGAUCUUUUGAAACCAUAAAAAAUGACACCUCAUUUGUUAAAAUCGGUUGGAUAUUAACCGAGAUAUGGUGAUUUAAAGGUGCAUAAAAGUGCGCAUAAAGGCCUAUUGAAAUGUACAGCCAUUGAAACAAUAACUGUGAUCAAAAAUGACCUUAAUUAGUUCCCCUGUUGCUCACUAGCUAAGGAAGCUACUACAGUGAAAGUUGACAUGCUUACUGAGGGAUAGAGGCGACAUAGUCUGAUCAAGCAUUGACCUAGAUAACUGACCUUGACCUUCAAUACCAAGGUCAAGUAAAGGUAAAGUCAAACAGGAUCUGUAAAAAGAAAGGGACCAUUAGUACCUAAAAAGCCUGCUUUCUUUCAUUGAAGUACCUAUUAAGUAUGCCAAAUGAAAGAAGAAUGUUAUUUGAGUAUUGUACAUUUAAAUUUCACGUGGCGGCCAUCUUGGAGACGUGGCGGCCAUCUUGGAGACGUGGCGGCCAUCUUGGAGACCGGGUUGCACAUCAAGGUUUGGGUUGACCAAACUGAAAUAAUUUACGCGGAAACAAGACGUGCGGCGAGGAAAGCAAAGCCCGAAAAGGACGUCAUCCCUAUGGAAGUGCACUUCAAAACCGACAGGACCAAGAGGGUCCAGCUGCAGCCGACUGUAGAGUGGAGCUCCACAGGAUAUAUGUCACCUCCACAGGAAACACGUGAUCUUUAAGAGCGUAAAGUGGGGCAAAUCUUUACGACGUAAAGUGGAGCUCCACAGGAAACACGCGAUCUCCACUGUGUUUGUACCAAGAGAGUCUGGACUAAGUCUUCGAAUCUGAAUUGCCAUUACAUUAAAAGGAACAUUGUUUUAUAAACCAAAUUGUAAACAUGGAUCCCAGUUUAAAAGCGGCUUUGCUUUUUCAAGACAAAAUUAUAUGGCGGUGCACACUACCAUGCCUGGACAAGGGACAUUGUCAGCCGGACUUGGCUUCCUCCCUACAACUGUGAGCCACUUCAGUCCCUUCCUGCAAGUACAAAUUUCCUGGGUGACUAUUAUUUAGAACUAGUGUAAGAGUACUUCAUGUACUUAUUGUGUUCCCACUAUGGACUCCUGGGCAUUUUCAACUUUGUGUAUGUAGGAGCACAUCAAUACCAUACAAUGCACUUAACCGAAUAAAAGCCCAAAAGUCUGAGGAUGUUAGGAUAUUAAGAUUUUAUUGUAAUUGUGUCAGUUACAUCUUGGUACAGCUUUAAUUUACGCAGUUUAAGCCAUGGGCAACUACUGUGAAUCAUUGACUGACUGUUAUUGCAAUGGCAUUGCUUAACACCUUGAGUAACUGUCUCUUAGGUGGUGAAGCCAGGUAAAAAAGAAAUGUUCUUUCUUGACUCGCGAUGUGCUAAGAAAAGGACAGGAUUUGGUGGCCACCAAUAUGUGUCACUCUUGAGGUCAAUUUUCUGUUUAUGUUAGUGUGCAGGAACCUGUUCAGUGUUCCAGGUUAAGUACAUUUUAGAUCACGUUCUGAUCUAUUUUGUGUUCAGCAUGUCUUCAGUUUAUUCAGUGAAUUCACAUGCUUACUUGACAGACCUGUACUGUGGAGUACAGCCUUUUGAUUAAUAGGUGAUACAUCAGAUGUUAAAUCAGAUAUUUAAAUAAUAGUAUUAAAAUACCUAGAAGAUGAGUUCUGACAGUAGAAUUGGUUUAUCCGAUAUAGUUACCAAAUUAUGUCAUUAAAUUGUCGUUAUAAUUGGGCAGUGCAGUUCAAUCUGAAUAAAUGUGUCAGCUAAAUCCUGUAAAUGUUAAAAUAUGAUGAAACAGAAAUUACAGAACUUCUGUAGAGGUUGAUCAAGACUAAGCAAAUGAAUGUACUUUCACAUUUUGCUAAUUGUGUACAGGCUGUGUUUUUAAGCCUGUUUAUAAAGAGCAUGCUGUUGCAGCAUUAACAGUUAACAGUUGUUAACAAUUAAUACUUUAUUUGUACUAGCAGUAAUUUCUGUAUGUUGUAUCUUAAAAUAACAGGAAGCUUGCAGAGAAUAUCAGUCCAGGGGAGUGGUCUGAAAUGAAUGGCUUUGAGUUGGUGGUAUGUGAUCAUGUGUGUGAUUAUAUCGAGAUUUUCUAAUACAGGUAUAUUGAUGAAAUGUGAUUUAAAGAGUGUUUUAUCCCAUUGUGAUAAUAAAGGGGUUUCCAAGCCAAGACUUUGGGGUUGACUGGCAUCUACAUGUUGAUGGUAAGAUUCAUCAUUCAGAUAUUUUUGGACUGUCAAGAUGCUUUUGAGAAUAAGUCAUGAACAUUGACAUUUAUUUUUUAAUUGACAGUCUGCUUUAUAUGUAGUGCUGGAUGCUCCCUUUGAUUACACCAUAGUAAGUAGCUUUUUUAGAGAGUAAUAAAGUAUGUGUGCAAAGAAGUCACUAAAUGCACUAAAUUGAUUUUUAAUAGUUAGACAUGCCGAAAUUGCGGAAAUGGUGGUGCCUGCUAAUGGAAAACUUCGAUCUCAAAGUUAUGGGAAGGUAUUUGCACACUGGACAAAGGAAUCAGAGGCUGUGCUGAAAGGUGAACAUGCACCUGUAUUCAGACUAAAAGCGCAAAUCUGUGGAACUCAGUCUGAAACCAGCAAUCGUCUCUGAUCUACACAUUGCUAUGGAGUGGAUUAAGAGGAAUGAGGCUCUAUUCAGUGGGCAAAUAACCAUUCCCAAACGUGUGACCAUGACGGAAGAGCACCACCAGAAGGCCCCAAGGGAUGUGCUGGAUGGAGACAACAUAGAAUCCAAGGAGCCAUUCCUCUUUGGUUUUCAGGUCCAAGAGGACAUGGAAUAAUUUUUACAGGCCUGUGUUGACCAGCGGGGCCUUCGGGUUAAUGCUGUCUGCUAUAAGAAUGAUUAAAUUACUGGCACAUGAGUGUGUUGAUUGAUUAUUAUUUUUUAUUUCAUCCUGUUUGUUGUUGCCGUCUAAAUAAAUUUAACAGUUGAUUGAAUAUAA